CAUGUAGGCGGUUUGUCAAGUCUGAUGUGAAAGCCCGGGGCUCAACCCCGGAAGUGCAUUGGAAACUGGCAAACUUGAGCACGGGAGAGGAAAGUGGAAUUUCGAGUGUAGGGGUGAAAUCCGUAGAUAUUCGAAGGAACACCAGUGGCGAAGGCGGCUUUCUGGACCGAUACUGACGCUGAGAUGCGAAAGCGUGGGGAGCAAACA
rnacentral:rRNA from 1 species